rnacentral:rRNA from 1 species
AUUGAACGCUGGCGGCAGGCUUAACACAUGCAAGUCGAACGAGUGGCGGACGGGUGAGUAAUGCUUGGGAAUCUAGCUUAUGGAGGGGGAUAACUACGGGAAACUGUAGCUAAUACCGCGUACCAUAGGAUGAGCCCAAGUGGGAUUAGGUAGUUGGUGAGGUAAAGGCUCACCAAGCCGACGAUCUCUAGCUGGUCUGAGAGGAUGACCAGCCACACUGGGACUGAGACAUGGCCCAAACUCCUACGGGAGGCAGCAGUGGGGAAUCUUCCGCAAUGGGCGCAAGCUAACGGAGCAAUGCCGCGUGAGUGAAGAAGGCCUUCGGGUUGUAAAACUCUGUCCUCAUCCAAGCGGUAGAUGAGGAGGAAGCCCCGGCUAACUAUGUGCCAGCAGCCGCGGUAAUUC